rnacentral:rRNA from 1 species
GACGAACGCUGGCGGCGUGCUUAACACAUGCAAGUCGAACGGAAAGGCCCCCAUCUUGGUGGGGGUGCUCGAGUGGCGAACGGGUGAGUAACACGUGGGUGAUCUGCCCUGUACUUCGGGAUAAGCUUGGGAAACUGGGUCUAAUACCGGAUAGGACCAUGGUUUAGUGUCUCAUGGUGGAAAGAUUAUUGUUUUGGUGCAGGAUGAGCUCGCGGCCUAUCAGCUUGUUGGUGGGGUAAUGGCCUACCAAGGCGUCGACGGGUAGCCGGCCUGAGAGGGUGGACGGCCACAUUGGGACUGAGAUACGGGCCAGACUCCUACGGGAGGAAGCAGUGGGGAAUAUUGCACGAUGGGCGCAAGCCUGAUGCAGCGACGCCGCGUGGGGGAUGACGGCCUUCGGGUUGUAAACUCCUUUCGUUAGGGACGAAGCCGCACUUUUUUUGGGUGUGGUGACGGUACCUUUGUUAAGAAGCACCGGCUAACUACGUG